GACAGAACACUGUAAAAAUGAAGUAACAACAGAUCAGCUUUCACACUCAUACAGGGGCCAUGGGUACCCAGGGCAGUUUCUUUCAGCUGGACCAAAAGCACCUCCCCAGGUCCCUGGGAGGCUACACAAAGCUUGAGGUGAGUGCAGACACUUAAUAGUGCAUGAUAUUCUUGGUCAAAGCCCCCAAAAUGCCAGUAUCAAAAUAGAGAAAACAGCUGACAUUCAGCAGGGAUAACAAGGCUGGAUUCCUGCCAUUGCUGUAGUGGUUUCAAAGGAGCAGAGUCAUCUUAAAGGGAUCAAGGCAGGAGCCCUCAGUAUCUACUUAGAAGAACUUGAAAGGAGCCAUUUCCAUUUACCUUGGUACAAAGGGAUGUCACAUAUUGGUAAAUCAGGAGGGUAAAGUGUGCUCUGCACCUUCACAGAGGGAAAUAAGUGAACAAAGGACAAGGCAGAAAAGUGCAGUAUUUCCAUGUCCUUGGUACAAAGGCUUGUGUUUGUUUCAUCAGUGUAGUCUGACUUUUCUUUUUUUUUUUUCCUCACUAAACAGACUGAAACCAGGACAUGCUCAUCCUUAAGAUUUAUGCAUUUUGAAAACAACUCAGAAGGUGGCAAGGCGGCAGAGCCUGGAGAAUCAAAGCAAAAAGCAAACCAGCAGGCAACAAACGUCAGCAGGAAGACAGAAAUGUUACAUCCUACAAAACCCAGUUGUAAACUUCUAAUAUUUUCAUCCAUUUAUUGUUUUGGACUAAACACCAAUACUGAUAUUUAAGCAAAAAUUCAAGUGUUCCUUGCUAAAUGCUCUCCAUGCAGGUUAUGCUACUGUACUGUGACAGCUAAAGAGUAAAUUGAUCAGGACUCUCUCAUGCCCCACAUCCCGAGCUGGUACAGCUCAGACAAUCCUUAAUUAAAAAAAAUACAUUGGAUCCCACUACUUAUCCAAAAGUAAGACUAACCACACUGUGCAACAAUGCAAGCACCUUUCUGGGGACCUGAGGGUAGUUGAUAAAUACUUGAUCUCACAAACAAUUUGGUACUAGUUAUUUCCAAAAUUAUUAUUCCCCUUCUACAAAAUGCUUAACUUUGGCAUGGAGCCUGAUUCUGACAUUUAUCUUGUGAUCCCAUGAUCAAACAAGUCUGUGUGCAAACCUCGGUGCACUCAGAGGUUGAGGCAUAAUUUGCUUAAUUUUGUUAAUACUUAAAUGUAAUUCCCAAGAUGCUGGAAUUAAUCAUUUCGAUGUCUGCCUUUAAUAUAAAUCAAAGUUAGGCAGCUCUGCAUUUGCAGAUCUAAACCACCCAUUUGCUUUCGUGCACAUUUGAGUUAUGAUCUCAUUUGCACUGACAGAGAAGAAAGGUUGGAUAAUCUAAUGUAACUAAGUAUCAGAGACUGAAAAUUCCUUUGCAAAGAGUCUACUUAAUAACUGCCUUCUAAUUCAUUUCAGGUAUUCAACUUUUAUCUGGCACAUAGAUUUUAAGCAUAUGUGAGCCACAUGCAAAGCAUAAUUCAAUAGUGGGCUGCAUCUCAAUGCCAUGUGUCAGGGAACUGCCACACCCAACUACCACCAUCAGUCUCAUCAUUUAUUUUGGACCCUGGAGAAACUUUGCAUUCCAUUAAAAGGAUUCUUCAUGGCUGCAAAUGCUGCUUGCUUAUAGUACCUACCAAUAACAGUACCACAAUGAGGUAAGCUUUGACAUUGCCCUCCUCAAAACAUUUGAUAAAAUCACUGUCUUCACAUUCCUCUUUUUCUUGACUUCUUUCCUUUCCCACACCCCCCCCCCGAAAAUGCUUCCAAGUACUGCGGACAGACGGUAGGUCUCUGGAAUAACAGCCUCACCUUAUCCAAGGCUCUCUGAGUCAACAGAAAAGCCUCUAUUGCUUUAUAUCAUCUCUGAGCCAGCCCUGAUGGUGUAGCCAGGUACUGUAUGGAAUUUUUUCACUAACCAGCUUCCUAGAGUCAAGAAUCACAUGCACUUGGAUAUACCCGUGGUCAACUUGCCUCUGCCUCCACUUAAGUUGCUCUGAAAGGCUGUUUGCAGCUUGUGAUUGAGGCACCACAGCAAACAGCACCCCUGGAUGAACCUGGGAGGACAGCCAGGCAUGGAGGAGAGCGUGAAAACAACACACUGUGAUGUUUCUAUAAAAAACACACCAAAAAGUUUGUGGCACAUAAAAUAAGAGAGAAAUAGUAUUUCAAAAAAUCAGCUAUAGCCAUCACUCUAAAACUCUAGCAAAUCUUCCCCUUGUUAUUUAUCUUUAUUAUCUCCUAAACCCACCUAAGUCGCACCUGGUACUUUACACGGAGAACAAAAACAAAAGGACUUUCCUAAGAGCAUUAGGAUCAAAGCACUUAGCACAGAUUUAAGGGCUUUAUGUUUAUUGCAUGAUUAGUGUUGUUAAUAUGCCAAGAACUGGAAAUUGGCAUGCUGCUGAUGUUUUCAAAUAAAUACACUGCCUAGUUUAAAUAAAUGCAAGGAAAAAGUUUAAGUAAAUAUGCCAGAAAUAUUUCCAUAUCAACUGUUUCCAUAAAGGUCAGAACACGAUGCUAAACAUCUCCUGCAAUGCCUUGCGCUGCUCUGCUUGUGCUUUUGUUUCCACGAAAAAAAUUGUUUUCUGUUUCAGAGUUCAGGAGAUGAUAAUUCUGUUUUACCAAGUGCAUGCAAAUUGCUUUAAAAUAACCUUUUCUGCAUUUCCUGGUCUGAUCAUUUGGAAGAUGAGGGUACAUCUUGUUCAAUAAGACCUCUCUAAAACAGAAAGGCUGCUACUUGAUUCACAUGGUUGGCAGCAGGAAAAAAGCCAGAAUAUGUUCAAAAAUUGUCUUAAAAAUUUGUACAAAAUUUCUGGUGAAUUUCUGGGAGCGGGGUCAGUCCAGCACCAGGACGACUCAACAGUCCUGGGCACAAAUGAACAAAUCUUGGCGAGAAGAAAAAGGCACCAUGGAGCAGUCAAGAAGAAAUGGAAUGACUGCUCCUUGUAAACUUAGUGCAUUGAAGGGGCAAUUCCACAAAGGGCAGAAGGGCAUAUGCCAAGCAAGAACCCGGGAACACUCUCCCCCAGAAAUGAAAAGUUGCAGAAAAUGCUGUCAGACCACUUUUCAGACCCACUGUGCAUCAGCCGACGAUUUCGGAGGUAUUUAAGAUAAUGAAUGCAAGCUGCGGUGAUCACCAAAUGAAUUCCCAAAGAUCGGUAUGCUCCGAUAGCUCACCAAGGGCAGGGCUGGGAAGGAUUAGAUUAAAAAUGGCAUUAUCAGAUUCUGCCAGGAGCAACUUUUUGGAGGAAAUUAAAAUCAAUCCUUGUAGAUUUAGACUUCCCCACAUUAAGGAUAUUAUGGAAAGUCAGCAGCCGUAAGUAAGCCCUGGUUCAUUCUUCCCAGCAAUCUGAGACAAAACAUGCUGGAUGAAAUAAAGAGAAAAGCAACAGAGCCCUCCAAUGCUUUACACCCGUUUUCUGAGAGGGCUGUGCUCCUGGACGCCAGCAAAUUUUUCCAACUACAAGCAAACCCAACAAUGUACUCUCAUAGCUGCCUUUCAGCAGCAGAUCUAUGUCACCUUUUACUACCACUAACACUGCUGCUGUCAUAUACUGUGACUUCUGUACCUCUGAAGUCUCUUGAACACAAAGGACAUCAACAGACACAUCACCAAGGAAAGCAUGGAUCCUUCCUCACCAGCUGAACCUUUACCAGGAGUCCUAAUGCUGGAACCUUUGUGUGUUGUCCAGCAACAGAGGCUCUGUGGCAUCCCAACCAAGUUAGCUUCACAACAGCAAGGUAUUUCAGCAGGUAAUUCCCUUGGCUUCAGUGAGACUGAAAGUAAGGCUGCAGCACUUUAGGAGAUGUUUAGGAAAUAUUUAUUGCUGCUCUGAAGCCCUGUUUCUCCCACUGAUGUGUUGUAGCAUGGUCUUGUGCCCAUCUGCAUUGGUGGGGACACAUGCACGGCAGGAGUCACCCAGCUUGGCCUUCCUUUCCUGACAAACUAAGGAGCCAUGACUUAAGGCACAUGGGUGCUGAGUGUGUAUGGUCAUGGUGAUUUUAGCUGGUGCAUGGCCAGAAAAUACAUGUGAUUCUUGUACAUUUAAAAAGGAAGAGGGGUCUCUACAUUCAAGGGAGGGCAAAUGGACCAGAGACCUGAGCAAAACACACCAAAGCACUGCACUGCACUUUUGGAAGAGGCUUUAGAAAUGUUUAAUGCAAAUUGACUCCUCAGAGAAAUGGGGUGAUUGAAAAAAAAGGCAUGAACAUUAAGGAUUUUGGAAUAUAUGAGUCUGAGGAUGUUUGUGAGCACUGUCCAGAGCCCCUGUGGAAGUGUUCUGAGGAGCCCUCUUGGAGCUGGAGGACAGCCCCCAGUGUGAACAAGAGCAGGCUUUGCCCGAGUGUUGCCAAGGAGCUCUCCUGGUCCCGGGCCAUCCAUGCUGGCCUACCCUGUCUCUGCAGUGCCCACAGGGUCUCCAUCUUCCAGAUGCUCCAUCCUCUGGUCUUGGCUCGGAGCAGAGGCACAGAGCUUCCUAAGUCAUUAUUGCAAAAGGGAGAAAUGAAACGAUCCACUAAAUCUUCACCUUCCCACCACCAAACUCAGCUGGAGGGACUGGUGAGACCAGAAAAAAAGAGGAAAAUUUCUCAGAGAAAAGGGUCCAAUUUGAUGUGUUACUGCAGCAGAAGAAAGAGCUGGUGUGUCUGGAGUCCAUUACUCCAGCACAAAUUGCCCAGAGGAAAGGAUGCUCUUGGAUUCUUUAACUCCUGCAAGAUUUAAGGCCCUGAGCGCUAAAGUCAAUACAAUAAUUUCCCCAAGCUGGGAAACCUCACAAGAUCUAUGGGCAGAAAGAGGCAACUGCAACAGGAGAAACCAUGCAUCUCCUCUUCUGCAGCAUCCACUCAGUAAGUAGCACCUUCUCCCCCUCUUUUCCCUGCCCUGUGUUACACCACAUACAAAGGCACAGAAAUCAUCAGGGCUGUGAGCACACAAAGCUCUCCUAAAAGCUGUGUCCCUGCCCUGCUCAACACUAUUUACCUUGAACAACAAACAAGCAAAAGCCCCAUUUAGCCACUGCAGGUCUCUCCAGGGAGGGAGGCAUUAGAUGGCAUUUCCUCAAAUUAGGAGAUGUGUGAGUUACCCAAGGACACCAAUACAGUGGGAUGUGGAAGGUACUCAUGAAGCCUAUUUUCCAUACUGUGGCACUUUUAGGAGAGUACCAACUGAAGCAGCAAGGUGCCAGCUAACUGACACCUCAUAUUUUUAGUGAACGGUGGUAUUACAAUGCCAUUUAGACAUUCCAUUCCAGAAUAGGAUUUCUCUGUGUUGGAUGGGGUAAAACACAAAGUAAAGAGCUCUCACAGGAACAGCAGCCCUGUUUCACAGGUGUGCAUCACACUGGGGGGUUGUAGGAGCACUGGGCUGCUGCUUGCUCCCCCAUUUUAUAAAGGAAAAUCUUGGCUUAAUGCCCUAGGGAUAAAUACUGUCAACCUGCAUACGGUCUUGGGCAUCAGACAGAUUUUCAUCCAUGCUGCUGACUCACUCACCUCCCCUGUAAGCUAGUAAAAUUAAAAUGUGAAUAGAGCAUUAAGUGCCUUUGGAACAGGA